CAGCCGCCGCGGUAAUACGAAGGGUGCAAGCGUUACUCGGAAUUACUGGGCGUAAAGCGUGUGUAGGUGGUUGUUUAAGUCUGUCGUGAAAGCCCUGGGCUCAACCUGGGAAUUGCGAUGGAUACUGGGCGACUAGAGUGCGGUAGAGGAUAGUGGAAUUUCCGGUGUAGCAGUGAAAUGCGUAGAGAUCGGAAGGAACAUCUGUGGCGAAGGCGACUAUCUGGGCCAACACUGACACUGAGACACGAAAGCGUGGGGAGCAAACAGGAUUAGAUACCCCGGUAGUCCCUGUCUCUUAUAC
rnacentral:rRNA from 1 species